rnacentral:rRNA from 1 species
UAAAGAUUCAUCGGCUGCGGAUGGCCAUGCGGCGCAUUAGCUAGUCGGCGGGGUAACGGCCCACCGAGGCGACGAUGCGUAGGGGUUCUGAGAGGAAGGUCCCCCACACUGGUACUGAGACACGGACCAGACUCCUACGGGAGGCAGCAGUGAGGAAUAUUGGUCAAUGGCCGGGAGGCUGAACCAGCCAAGUCGCGUGAGGGAAGACGGCCCUACGGGUUGUAAACCUCUUUUGUCAGGGAGCAAGGUGCAGGUCGGGACCUGCUGUGGGAGUACCUGAAGAAAAAGCAUCGGCUAACUCCGUGCCAGCAGCCGCGGUAAUACGGAGGAUGCGAGCGUUAUCCGGAUUUAUUGGGUUUAAAGGGUGCGCAGGCGGAGGCACAAGUCAGCGGUAAAAUCGCGGGGCUCAACCCCGCUCCGCCGUUGAAACUGUGUCCCUUGAGUGCGCGAAGGGUAGGCGGAAUGCGUGGUGUAGCGGUGAAAUGCAUAGAUAUCACGCAGAACUCCGAUCGCGAAGGCAGCCUACCGGCGCGCGACUGACGCUCAUGCACGAAAGCGUGGGUAUCGAACAGGAUUAGAUACCCUGGUAGUCCACGCAGUAAACGAUGAAUGCUAUCUGUCCGGCCGGAAUGACGGCUGG